GAUGGGUUAGGUGGCUACUAUCCCUUGCCGGUAUUGACCAAACUUUUGGAGCACACUCCGUUCGUGGGGCAGCGGCCUCUUCUGCUUAUGCGGCAGGCGCGUCCCUCUCGGACAUUUUACGAGCAGCGGACUGGACCAGAGAAUCUACCUUUCGGACAUUCUACUUUCGUCCUCUUGAUAAUCCGGCAUUUGCUUUUCUUUCUCAGCGUUGAAAUUGCAAAAUACGAAGCCUCCUGUCAUGUGAUAAAAUUGAAGAUUAUGCUAGCUUUAGUGUAC